AUUGAACGCUGGCGGCAGGCCUAACACAUGCAAGUCGAACGAGUGGCGGACGGGUGAGUAAUGUCUGGGAAACUGCCUGAUGGAGGGGGAUAACUACUGGAAACGGUAGCUAAUACCGCAUACCAUCGGAUGUGCCCAGAUGGGAGUAGCUAGUAGGUGGGGUAAAGGCUCACCUAGGCGACGAUCCCUAGCUGGUCUGAGAGGAUGACCAGCGACACUGGAACUGAGAGCAGGUCCAGACUCCGACGGGAGGCAGCAGUGGGGAAUAUUGGAUGAUGGGCGAAAGCCUGAUGCAGCCAUGACGCGUGUAUGAAGAAGGCCUUCGGGUUGUAAAGUACUUUCAGAGGGGAGGCGUUACCCGCAGAAGAAGCACCGGCUAACUCCGUGCCAGCAGCCGCGGUAAUAC
rnacentral:rRNA from 1 species